rnacentral:rRNA from 1 species
UACGUAGGGUGCGAGCGUUGUCCGGAAUUAUUGGGCGUAAAGAGCUUGUAGGCGGUUUGUCGCGUCUGCUGUGAAAUUUCGAGGCUCAACCUCGAACUUGCGGUGGGUACGGGCAGACUAGAGUGUGGUAGGGGGAGACUGGAAUUCCUGGUGUAGCGGUGAAAUGCGCAGAUAUCAGGAGGAACACCGAUGGCGAAGGCAGGUCUCUGGGCCACUACUGACGCUGAGAAGCGAAAGCAUGGGGAGCGAACAGG